GAUGAACGCUGGCGGCGUGCCUAAUACAUGCAAGUCGAGCGAACAGACGAGGAGCUUACUCCUCUGACGUUAGCGGCGGACGGGUGAGUAACACGUGGAUAACCUACCUAUAAGACUGGGAUAACUUCGGGAAACCGGAGCUAAUACCGGAUAACAUGUUGAACCGCAUGGUUCAACAGUGAAAAACGGUCUUGCUGUCACUUAUAGAUGGAUCCGCGUCGCAUUAGCUAGUUGGUAAGGUAACGGCUUACCAAGGCAACGAUGCGUAGCCGACCUGAGAGGGUGAUCGGCCACACUGGAACUGAGACACGGUCCAGACUCCUACGGGAGGCAGCAGUAGGGAAUCUUCCGCAAUGGGCGAAAGCCUGACGGAGCAACGCCGCGUGAGUGAAGAAGGUCUUCGGAUCGUAAAACUCUGUUAUUAGGGAAGAACAAAUGUGUAAGUAACUAUGCACGUCUUGACGGUACCUAAUCAGAAAGCCACGGCUAACUACGUG
rnacentral:rRNA from 1 species